rnacentral:rRNA from 1 species
CCCUUAGAUGUUCUGGGCGGCCCGCGCACUACAAUGGCGUGUGCAGCGAGUGCCGAAGUAGAGUUUUCCGAGGUAUUCUUGCAAUGCUCGUUUUGAUGGGGAUAGACCCUUGCAACUGUUGGUUUUGAACGAGGAAUUCCUUGUAAGCAUGGUUUAUCAUCCGACGCUGAAUGCGUCCCUGCCCUUUGUACACACCGCCCGUCGCUCCUACCGAUUGAGUGUUCCGGUGAAUAAUUCGGACUGCAGCAGCGUGGGGACUCCUCAUACUGCAGCGGAAAGUUUGGUGAACCUUAACACUUAGAGGAAGGAGAAGUCGUAACA